GGAAAACUGGCUGUGCAGAGAUCAUAUGGAUGCAGCAGGAAGAUGUUGUCUAUGACGUCAGAGCCCUCACCAGACACUUAAUUUGAUGGCAACUUGAUCUUGGACUUCUCAGUCUCCAGAACUUGAUAAGAAGGAGAUUACUGCUGCCCACGGGGAAAAAGGAGAACAGAAAUGGGAAAGCCGUAUUGAGAGGAUGUUUGAGAACUGUGAAAGACAGAAAGCAG
rnacentral:lncRNA from 1 species